GAUGAACGCUGGCGGCGUGCCUAAUACAUGCAAGUCGAGCGAACAGACGAGGAGCUUGCUCCUCUGACGUUAGCGGCGGACGGGUGAGUAACACGUGGAUAACCUACCUAUAAGACUGGGAUAACUUCGGGAAACCGGAGCUAAUACCGGAUAAUAUAUUGAACCGCAUGGUUCAAUAGUGAAAGACGGUUUUGCUGUCACUUAUAGAUGGAUCCGCGCCGCAUUAGCUAGUUGGUAAGGUAACGGCUUACCAAGGCAACGAUGCGUAGCCGACCUGAGAGAGUGAUCGGCCACACUGGAACUUAGACACGGUCCAGACUCCUACGGGAGGCAGCAGUAGGGAAUCUUCCGCAAUGGGCGAAAGCUUGACGGAGCAACGCCGCGUGAGUGAUGAAGGUCUUCGGAUCGUAAAACUCUGUUAUUAGGGAAGAACAAAUGUGUAAGUAACUAUGCACGUCUUGACGGUACCUAAUCAGAAAGCCACGGCUAACUACGUG
rnacentral:rRNA from 1 species